GCUAAAUUCACAGAUGGACUUAAUGAGGGCUUAGGAAGAGCAUCUCCAAGGGCUGCUCUGAAAGAGGGAGUUUAGGGUGGAGGAGAAAUCGUGUUGAGACUGGCACAUCCGGUAUAUUCCUGUGUUCAUCACACAAACAACUGGCAAACAGAAUGUUCAUCAUAUCCCCAUCUUCAAGUCUCUGAGGUUUUCCAUACCAGGAGGAAUGAGCUUGGUCUGACAGUUUCUGCAAGAACGCUGGAAGUAUGAAUGUAUGAAUCGCUGCUGCAAUGCCACCACCUGUACCCUGAAGCCGGACGCUGUGUGCGCACAUGGGCUGUGCUGUGAAGACUGCCAGCUGAAGCCUGCAGGAACAGCAUGCAGGGACUCCAGCAACUCCUGUGACCUCCCAGAGUUCUGCACAGGGGCCAGCCCUCACUGCCCAGCCAACGUGUACCUGCACGAUGGGCACUCAUGUCAGGAUGUGGACGGCUACUGCUACAAUGGCAUCUGCCAGACUCACGAGCAGCAGUGUGUCACGCUCUGGGGACCAGGUGCUAAACCUGCCCCUGGGAUCUGCUUUGAGAGAGUCAAUUCUGCAGGUGAUCCUUAUGGCAACUG
rnacentral:sRNA from 1 species